rnacentral:rRNA from 1 species
AACGAACGCUGGCGGCAGGCCUAACACAUGCAAGUCGAACGAGUAAGAGCCGUAGCAAUACGGAGUUCUGCUAGUGGCGCACGGGUGAGUAACGCGUGGGAACGUGCCUUGGAGUUCGGGAUAACAGUUGGAAACGACUGCUAAUACCGAAUAUUCCCUCAGGGGGAAAGAUUUAUCGCUCCAAGAUCGGCCCGCGUAAGAUUAGGUAGUUGGUGGGGUAAUGGCCUACCAAGCCUACGAUCUUUAGCUGGUCUGAGAGGACGACCAGCCACACUGGAACUGAGACACGGUCCAGACUCCUACGGGAGGCAGCAGUGGGGAAUAUUGGACAAUGGGCGAAAGCCUGAUCCAGCCAUGCCGCGUGAAUGAUGAAGCCUUAGGGUUGUAAAAUUCUUUUGUCAGGGGAAGAUAAUGACGGGUACCCUGCGAAUAAGACUCCGGCUAACUUCGUGCCAGCAGCCGCGGUAAU